rnacentral:tRNA from 1 species
AAGCAGAAUGCAAUAGCAAUAUGAUUUCGGCUCAUUAGGUGAAAGUUACUUUUCUCUGCUUU